CUUCGAAAAUAGCCGAAUGUCAAAAGGAUAUGAAUAAAAUACUUCAGUCAGUUGUAAGAUCGAAACUGGGUUUGCCUUUAAAUACUGGAAUGAUCAUAAAUAAAAAACCAGUGAAAGAAUAUCUUGAUGAAAAACUGAGAAACAAGAAAUGUAUCGGUUCAUGGGAAACGGGUGAUGGUGAUUCAGUAAUACUUUAUGCAAGUGAUAAAACACAUCUUUCACUUUUGGAAGAAAUCAUGAAAGAAACUUUUGUUGCCAAUACACUGGAUUUUGUGGACAAAAUUAAGGAUACUCCAAAUCAUGUAAAGUGGCUGACAUAUGUUGAAAGUCUAAAAGAAGAGAGUCCAGAUUCCUGUUUUUUCGGAGAAAAUUCUAUUAUUGCUGUUGAUGCCGUAGUUGAUUAUAUGAAGAGCAAAAUUGAUAACUUUGAGCAAUCUUUAAUUUACGAAUCUUAUAUAUCGAUGAAUCUUGCACAUUUCCUCUUUCUUAAAGAGUUCAAAGAACAGGAAAUCAAUGACUUUAGUGAGAAAAAUAAAAUUAAGAAUGUGUGUCUCAAAGAUAAUAAGUUACACCUGGAAGGAACACAAAACCAAAUUAGGAAAAUGGAAACAUUUAUAGAAAACUUAAGAAAAGAUAUCAGCUCAAAAGAAGAAAACUUUGAAAUGUUUGGAUUUCAAGAAUUUCUGGAAAAUGAAGAAGGAAAGAAUUUCUUAUGUGAAAUGCAGAAGCAAUCUGAGAGCAUAAUAUCAUUAAAUUCAGAUUUAGGAAGUGAAACAGAUGAAAUAGUUAAUGUUAAGUAUAAGAACUGUGAAAUAGUGUUGAAGGAAGGUGACAUCACGACUCUGGACACAGAUGCUAUUGUUAAUGCUGCAAAUGGCAGACUGGAACACAGGGGUGGGGUUGCAGCAGCCAUUGUGCAGAAAGGUGGGUUUGAAAUUCAAGCUGAAUCCAGUAAAAUUAUGAAAGAAAGAAGGAGUGAACUGAAAACUGGAGAAGUAGUGUCAACUAAUGCUGGUAGACUCAAAUGCAAGACUAUCGUUCAUGCUGUUGGACCCAUUUGGAAUAAUGGAAGGGAUCAGGAAAUUUUUACCUUUCAGUAGCUGUUCAAAAUUGUUUGGCAUUUCUUGAAAAAAAGCCUUAUACAUCAAUUGCAAUUCCUGCCAUCAGUACAGGUAUUUUUGGUAUACCCAUAGAAGAAGGAACCAAAUGUAUAGUUAUAGCUAUAAAGAAUUAUCUUGAUGCUUACUCAAAUUCUAAAAUAAAGCAUAUUUGUCUGAUUGACGUACGGAAGGAAGUAAUCAGAGCUUUUAAGCUUCAUCUAGAAACGGUGUUUGGAAUCAGUAAAAGCAGAGGUAGGACUUAAUUAGACUUU
rnacentral:misc_RNA from 1 species